rnacentral:rRNA from 1 species
GACGUGCUAAUCUGCGAUAAGCGUCGGUAAGGUGAUAUGAACCGUUAUAACCGGCGAUUUCCGAAUGGGGAAACCCAGUGUGAUUCGUCACACUAUCAUUAACUGAAUCCAUAGGUUAAUGAGGCGAACCGGGGGAACUGAAACAUCUAAGUACCCCGAGGAAAAGAAAUCAACCGAGAUUCCCCCAGUAGCGGCGAGCGAACGGGGAGCAGCCCAGAGCCUGAAUCAGUGUGUGUGUUAGUGGAAGCGUCUGGAAAGGCGUGCGAUACAGGGUGACAGCCCCGUACACAAAAAUGCACAUACUGUGAGCUCGAUGAGUAGGGCGGGACACGUGGUAUCCUGUCUGAAUAUGGGGGGACCAUCCUCCAAGGCUAAAUACUCCUGACUGACCGAUAGUGAACCAGUACCGUGAGGGAAAGGCGAAAAGAACCCCGGCGAGGGGAGUGAAAAAGAACCUGAAACCGUGUACGUACAAGCAGUGGGAGCACGCUUAGGCGUGUGACUGCGUACCUUUUGUAUAAUGGGUCAGCGACUUAUAUUCUGUAGCAAGGUUAACCGAAUAGGGGAGCCGAAGGGAAACCGAGUCUUAACUGGGCGUUAAGUUGCAGGGUAUAGACCCGAAACCCGGUGAUCUAGCCAUGGGCAGGUUGAAGGUUGGGUAACACUAACUGGAGGACCGAACCGACUAAUGUUGAAAAAUUAGCGGAUGACUUGUGGCUGGGGGUGAAAGGCCAAUCAAACCGGGAGAUAGCUGGUUCUCCCCGAAAGCUAUUUAGGUAGCGCCUCGUGAAUUCAUCUCCGGGGGUAGAGCACUGUUUCGGCAAGGGGGUCAUCCCGACUUACCAACCCGAUGCAAACUGCGAAUACCGGAGAAUGUUAUCACGGGAGACACACGGCGGGUGCUAACGUCCGUCGUGAAGAGGGAAACAACCCAGACCGCCAGCUAAGGUCCCAAAGUCAUGGUUAAGUGGGAAACGAUGUGGGAAGGCCCAGACAGCCAGGAUGUUGGCUUAGAAGCAGCCAUCAUUUAAAGAAAGCGUAAUAGCUCACUGGUCGAGUCGGCCUGCGCGGAAGAUGUAACGGGGCUAAACCAUGCACCGAAGCUGCGGCAGCGACGCUUAUGCGUUGUUGGGUAGGGGAGCGUUCUGUAAGCCUGUGAAGGUGUGCUGUGAGGUAUGCUGGAGGUAUCAGAAGUGCGAAUGCUGACAUAAGUAACGAUAAAGCGGGUGAAAAGCCCGCUCGCCGGAAGACCAAGGGUUCCUGUCCAACGUUAAUCGGGGCAGGGUGAGUCGACCCCUAAGGCGAGGCCGAAAGGCGUAGUCGAUGGGAAACAGGUUAAUAUUCCUGUACUUGGUGUUACUGCGAAGGGGGGACGGAGAAGGCUAUGUUGGCCGGGCGACGGUUGUCCCGGUUUAAGCGUGUAGGCUGGUUUUCCAGGCAAAUCCGGAAAAUCAAGGCCGAGGCGUGAUGACGAGGCACUACGGUGCUGAAGCAACAAAUGCCCUGCUUCCAGGAAAAGCCUCUAAGCAUCAGGUAACAUCAAAUCGUACCCCAAACCGACACAGGUGGUCAGGUAGAGAAUACCAAGGCGCUUGAGAGAACUCGGGUGAAGGAACUAGGCAAAAUGGUGCCGUAACUUCGGGAGAAGGCACGCUGAUACGUAGGUGAAGCGACUUGCUCGUGGAGCUGAAAUCAGUCGAAGAUACCAGCUGGCUGCAACUGUUUAUUAAAAACACAGCACUGUGCAAACACGAAAGUGGACGUAUACGGUGUGACGCCUGCCCGGUGCCGGAAGGUUAAUUGAUGGGGUUAGCGCAAGCGAAGCUCUUGAUCGAAGCCCCGGUAAACGGCGGCCGUAACUAUAACGGUCCUAAGGUAGCGAAAUUCCUUGUCGGGUAAGUUCCGACCUGCACGAAUGGCGUAAUGAUGGCCAGGCUGUCUCCACCCGAGACUCAGUGAAAUUGAACUCGCUGUGAAGAUGCAGUGUACCCGCGGCAAGACGGAAAGACCCCGUGAACCUUUACUAUAGCUUGACACUGAACAUUGAGCCUUGAUGUGUAGGAUAGGUGGGAGGCUUUGAAGUGUGGACGCCAGUCUGCAUGGAGCCGACCUUGAAAUACCACCCUUUAAUGUUU